UACGUAGGGCGCGAGCGUUGUCCGGAAUGAUUGGGCGUAAAGAGCUCGUAGGCGGCUAGUCGCGUCGGCUGUGAAAACCUGGGGCUCAACCCCGGGCCUGCAGACCAUACGGGCUAGCUAGAAUUCGGUAGGGGAGACUGGAAUUCCUGGUGUAGCGGUGAAAUGCGCAGAUAUCAGGAGGAACACCGGUGGCGAAGGCGGGUCUCUGGGCCGAUAUUGACGCUGAGGAGCGAAAGCGUGGGGAGCGAACAGG
rnacentral:rRNA from 1 species